CACCCAGUUCGAGCUUCCCGGCUGCUUUGUUUACCUAAGCAAGCCCGGGCAAUGGUGGGCGCCCAUCCCCCAGCCUCGCGCCUCCUUGCAGUUUGAUCUCAGACUGCUGUGCUAGCAAUCAGCAAGACUCCGUGGGCGUAGGACCCUCCGAGCCAGGUGAGGGAUAUAAUCUCGUGGUGCCGUUUUUUAAGCCCGUCGAAAAUCGCAGUAUUCGGGUGGGAGUGACCCGAUUUUCCAGAUGCUGUCUGUCACCCCUUUCUUUGACUAGGAAAGGGAACUCCCUGACCCCUUGCGCUUCCCGAGUGAGGCAAUGCCUCACCCUGCUUCGGCUCACGCACGGUGCGCGCACCCACUGACCUGCGCCCACUGUCUGGCACUCCCUAGUGAGAUGAACCCAGUACCUCAGAUGGAAAUGCAGAAAUCACCUGUCUUCUGUGUCGCUCACACUGAGAGCUGUAGACCGGAGCUUUUCCUAUUUGGCCAUCUUGCGACAAAGUGAUCCCAGCUUACAGGUCAUACAGAAAACAAGCAGCCUGUCCCUGAUGUACAUUAAAAACCCACCUUUGGGUAAGGAAAGAACAAGGGUCUAUCAUUCU
rnacentral:lncRNA from 1 species